UACAGAGGGUGCAAGCGUUAAUCGGAAUUACUGGGCGUAAAGCGUGCGUAGACGGUAGCGUAAGUCGGGUGUGAAAGCCCCGGGCUCAACCUGGGAAUUGCAUUUGUGACUGUAGAGCUGGAGUACGGUAGAGGGGGAUGGAAUUCCGCGUGUAGCAGUGAAAUGCGUAGAUAUGCGGAGGAACACCGAUGGCGAAGGCAAUCCCCUGGACCUGUACUGACGCUCAUGCACGAAAGCGUGGGGAGCAAACAGG
rnacentral:rRNA from 1 species